rnacentral:rRNA from 1 species
AACGAACGCUGGCGGCGUGUCUUAAGCAUGCAAGUCGUGCGGCAAGGGUAGCAAUACCCCUAGAGCGGCGGACUGGUGAGUAACGCGUGGGUGAUCUGCCCUUGGGAUGGGGAUAGCCACUAGAAAUAGUGGGUAAUACCGAAUACGUUCCCCCGACUGUGGUUGGGGGAGGAAAAGCGCUUCGGCGCUGCCCGAGGAUGAGCCCGCGUCCCAUUAGCUAGUUGGUGAGGUAAAGGCCCACCAAGGCGAUGAUGGGUAGGCGGCCUGAGAGGGUGUACGCCCACACUGGGACUGAGAUACGGCCCAGACUCCUACGGGAGGCAGCAGCUAAGAAUAUUCCGCAAUGGACGAAAGUCUGACGGAGCGACGCCGCGUGGAUGAAGAAGGCCGAAAGGUUGUAAAGUCCUUUUGUUGGGGAAGAAUAAGCGCGGGAGGGAAUGCCCGCGUGAUGACAUGAACCGACGAAUAAGCCCCGGCUAACUACGUG